AGGCCAGCUGUUUAAUCUGCUUCUACAAUCUGCAAUGACAAAACUCCAUGAAGAAGUCAGUUGAUAGUAGGGAAAUAUGAUGAGCUUUUCCGGUCUGAGAGUCACAGGACAAAACAUUACACGCUCUCAUGAGUGUAGUUGAAUGCUGUGUCUGUGGAGAGAUGAUGGCUGCAGGAUACCACUGAUUGGUGACAGGCGGACCAAGCCAGUCAGGGGAAGAAAGCCCUCCUGGGCCGGACUGAACGGGUAGGACUGAACGUGGAAAGGCGCCUCACUCGGCUCUGCGCAGCCUCUCCAGUAGGCGCUCAGAAGAGGCUGCC